UACGAAGGGGGCUAGCGUUGCUCGGAAUCACUGGGCGUAAAGCGCACGUAGGCGGGUCGUUAAGUCGGGGGUGAAAUCCUGGAGCUCAACUCCAGAACUGCCUUCGAUACUGGCGAUCUUGAGUCUGGGAGAGGUGAGUGGAACUCCGAGUGUAGAGGUGAAAUUCGUAGAUAUUCGGAAGAACACCAGUGGCGAAGGCGGCUCACUGGCCCGGUACUGACGCUGAGACGCGAAAGCGUGGGGAGCAAACAGG
rnacentral:rRNA from 1 species